UUCUACCUCUUGACAUGUAGUAUGAACAUAAAGCACAGUUGAUUCCUGAGCUGUGAUGACUUUCCACUGACCAUACUACUGCAAUGAUGUUAUUCUGGGCCAAACUUCGGAAUCAAUUCUUGUCUGCUGCCUGAUUCAAUUAUUUUUAAUGCACCCUGUGGAUUUUUACUUGCUAAAGUAGAAAGAAGAUCCCAACAUUUGAUGAGAAAAUAUACAGAAGAUGUGGAUCUCUCUUUUGGGCAGAUGAAAGUAUAUUGAGUUUACACAUGGUGACAGUACAGAUUUGUUUUUAAUUACAAAAGAACAUGGCUACUGCCUUUGAAUUCUCAACAUUCAGCGUGGUCAGCAGUAGUAAACCUGGCAAUUUGAGGGCAACCCAAGUAAUAGCAGCAACAGCAACAACAGACCUUAAUCAAGCAAUUAAUAUGUGCCAUGUCUCUUGCUAGACAUUUUAACAAGAGUUAUUUUACCUAUGUCACACACUUGUAAUUAUCUGCAUAGUAAAUAAAUGCUUUUAAGGCAUAGGUCACAUGUCUGACUCACAGCUGCGAUGUGGUGGAUCCAAAUCUCUCUGAGGCCAAAUACUGCCCAGCUCGAAUGAACGCUAUGCUCCAUGCCUGAAACAACUGCUCCAGCCCUCAGAAAAGAGUCUCCCAUUCAACUGAAGUCUGCAUAUCAGAUUCCCGUGGGAUAAUUCAUAAAGGCUCCUUGAAGUUAAUUCUGGGUAUAUCCUGAAAUAGAGGGUCUCCUCUGUUUUUUCUUCUUUUUUUCCACAACUGAGGAGACACUAGUGCCUACUUAUCUCAAUAAUGGGAUUUCUCUUUGAUGCAAUUGCAGUUUUUACUAGGCCUUUCAAUAAAUAUGUUGAAUAUU
rnacentral:lncRNA from 1 species